rnacentral:lncRNA from 1 species
GGGCUCAAGGCGGCGGGCUUCAUCGUCUACCCUUCGAGCGGGACCUACUUCGUCAUGGUCGACCACACCCCGUUCGGGUUCGACAACGACGUCGAGUUCUGCGAGUACUUGAUCCGCGAGGUCGGCGUCGUGGCCAUCCCGCCGAGCGUGUUCUACCUGAACCCGGAGGACGGGAAGAACCUGGUGAGGUUCACCUUCUGCAAGGACGACGACACGCUGAGGGCGGCGGUGGACCGGAUGAAGGCCAAGCUCAGGAAGAAAUGAUUGAGGGGGCGAUUUCCGUGCAAAUGAUUGAGGGGGCGAUUUCCGUGUAGCCGUUGAUGAUUGUUUGGUGAAUAAAGACCUGCUCGAUCUGAUCUGAUCUGCAUUCCGGUGCGAUGCAUGUAACACUUUUUUCUAGCAGCAGUUAUCUACUAUAUCUCCUGUCUGUGACUUUGAUCUCUUUCGUCGUUGCUAUUUUGAACGUGUAAGGCGAUGGUGAUGGCUCCGGGUAAAGCUGACGGUACGAAACCUGUGCGGAGCAAAACUGCGGCUGCUAUUUGCUCGAGCCUUUUUC